rnacentral:rRNA from 1 species
UACGUAGGGGGCGAGAGUUGUCCGGAUUUACUGGGUGUAAAGGGUGCUCAGGUGGAUUUGUAAGUCAGAGGUGAAAUCCCAAAGCUCAACUUUGGAGCUGCCUUUGAUACUGCAGGUCUGGAGUUUGGGAGAGGGUAAUGGAAUAUCUGGUGUAGCAGUGAAAUGCGUAGAUAUCAGAUAGAACACCAAUGGCGAAGGCAGUUGCCUGGCCCAAAACUGACGCUAAAGCACGAAAGUGUGGGGAGCAAACAGG